UACAGAGGGUGCAAGCGUUAAUCGGAAUUACUGGGCGUAAAGCGCGCGUAGGUGGUUCGUUAAGUUGGAUGUGAAAUCCCCGGGCUCACCUGGGAACUGCAUUCAAAACUGUCGAGCUAGAGUAUGGUAGAGGGUGGUGGAAUUUCCUGUGUAGCGGUGAAAUGCGUAGAUAUAGGAAGGAACACCAGUGGCGAAGGCGACCACCUGGACUGAUACUGACACUGAGGUGCGAAGGCGUGGGGAGCAAACAGG
rnacentral:rRNA from 1 species